CUCCUACGGGAGGCAGCAGUGGGGAAUAUUGGACAAUGGGCGCAAGCCUGAUCCAGCCAUGCCGCGUGAGUGAUGAAGGCCCUAGGGUUGUAAAGCUCUUUUGUCCGGGACGAUAAU
rnacentral:rRNA from 1 species